UGGGGAAUCUUGCGCAAUGCGCGAAAGCGUGACGCAGCAACGCCGCGUGGGUGAAGAAGGCCUUCGGGUUGUAAAGCCCUUUCAGGAGGGACGAAGCUCCGGUCGUUAAUAGCGGUCCGAAGUGACGGUACCUUCACAAGAAGCCCCGGCUAACUACGUGCCAGCAGCCGCGGUAAUACGUAGGGGGCAAGCGUUGUCCGGAAUCAUUGGGCGUAAAGAGCGCGUAGGCGGUCCGGUAAGUCCGCUCUGAAAGUCCGGGGCUCAACCCCGGGAGGCGGGCGGAUACUGCCGGGCUAGAGUCCGGAAGAGGCGAGUGGAAUUCCUGGUGUAGCGGUGAAAUGCGCAGAUAUCAGGAGGAACACCGAUGGCGAAGGCAGCUCGCUGGGACGGUACUGACGCUGAGGCGCGAAAGCGUGGGGAGCAAACAG
rnacentral:rRNA from 1 species